GAUGCAGCGACGCCGCGUGGGGGAUGAAGGCCUUCGGGUUGUAAACUCCUUUCGCUAGGGACGAAGCUUUUUGUGACGGUACCUAGAUAAGAAGCACCGGCUAACUACGUGCCAGCAGCCGCGGUAAUACGUAGGGUGCGAGCGUUGUCCGGAAUUACUGGGCGUAAAGGGCUCGUAGGUGGUUUGUCGCGUCGUCUGUGAAAUUCUGGGGCUUAACUCCGGGCGUGCAGGCGAUACGGGCAUAACUUGAGUGCUGUAGGGGUAACUGGAAUUCCUGGUGUAGCGGUGAAAUGCGCAGAUAUCAGGAGGAACACCGAUGGCGAAGGCAGGUUACUGGGCAGUUACUGACGCUGAGGAGCGAAAGCAUGGGUAGCGAACAGGAUUAGAUACCCUGGUAGUCCAUGCCGUAAACGGUGGGCGCUAGGUGUGAGGGUCUUUCUACGACUUUCGUGCCGUAGCUAACGCAUUAAGCGCCCCGCCUGGGGAGUACGGCCGCAAGGCUA
rnacentral:rRNA from 1 species